rnacentral:lncRNA from 1 species
CACCGAUGCCCUGCUCCACACCAACUGCGUCCUUUUCCCUAGAGAGAAACUGAGGCAGAGAGGGAGUUCCCUGCUCGCUCGGACACCCCAGCGCCCUCACAGAGACCCCUCGGACUCCCUGGGCCCCAGCCCCUCACGCAGCCCCUCAGACUCCUCACCGAAGCUGCCGUCACUCCCGCAGUUCCCCACCCCUCCCGUGGAAGACCCAUCCCUUAACCGAGCCUUCCUCUCCUCGCUCCACCAUGCCCAGCCUAGACCCUUAAGAAUGUUUGUUGAAUGGGUGGGUGAAUGUGCUGAGGCAUGGAGUCCAGUCCAGAGUCAUUCCUUCCUUAUGAAGCUUACAUACAAAUUAGAGAGAGAGAGACAAAAAGUAAAAACUACAGGUGAUAAAUGCCAGAUAGUGAUAAAUGCUAUUCAGAAAAAUAAAGCAAAGUAACAGGAUAGUUUAUGGAGGAUGUUACUUUAUAUGGAUGGUCAGGGAGGACACUGUGAGGUACUCCCUGUGCCUACUCUAGGGCGCCCUGGGAGCUGAGACCUGAAGGAAGUAAGACAUGUGGCUAUC